UAAUACGAAGGUGGCGAGCGUUGUUCGGAUUUACUGGGCAUAAAGGGCGCGUAGGCGGUUCCGUAAGCAGCGUGUGAAAUCCCACAGCUCAACUGUGGAACUGCACGCUGGACUGCGGUUCUCGAGGACGGCAGGGGGGUGCGGAACUCUAGGUGUAGCGGUGAAAUGCGUAGAUAUCUAGAGGAACACCGGUGGCGAAAGCGACACCCUGGGCCGUCUCUGACGCUGAGGCGCGAAAGCGUGGGUAGCAAACAGGAUUAGAUACCCUGGUAGUCCACGCCGUAAACGAUGAGCACUAGGUAGCCGUCGGAACCGACCGGUGGCUGCUGAAGGAAAUCCAUUAAGUGCUCCGCCUGGGGAGUAUGGUCGCAAGGCUG
rnacentral:rRNA from 1 species